rnacentral:lncRNA from 1 species
CGUUCACAUAGUAUAGUGGGGGAUAGAGAAAACUGUGUGCGAGGUUUGAGGAGAUUCAGAGAAGGCUUUAUGGAGGAAUUUUCAUCUGAAUUGACGUUUGAAAGUGAGUAGGAAUUAGUUGGUGAGGUUAGAGGAUAAGGCAUUCUGGGCACAAGAAAGCAGUGAGGACAAAUAGAUAGGUUAGAAAUGGGACAUAGACCCUUAAUGUGUUAAGAUAGAGAAUAGAGAGAUGAACUUUAAAAAGUAAACAAGGGGUAAAUAAUGAAAGUUCUCUUCCACACCAUGUUAGCCAUUUUGAGCUUUAAUCUGGAGGCUAUGUUGAUCCAUGAGUAAUAGAUUUUAAGUGGAAGAAAGUUAACAUCAGUUUCAUGAGGCAAUGUGAGGAAUGAAUUGUAGUGGGGUAAGGCAGACAUUUGCAUUACAUGUGACAGAACUCUGAAAAUGCAGUGCUGCUGGAGAGAAGAGGAUGAAUUCCAGAUAUAUUAAGGUGAUUGAGUUAGUGGCCAGAUGGAUGUAGGGGAUGAAGGAGUGAUGGAGUCAAGGAUACCUCCUAGGUUUAUGACUUGCCGAGAUAGGAAUCACAUGAGCAAUAUCAGAUGUAUGGGGAGAAUAAGAUCAGUAGUCUUGCACAUGGGUUUAGGUCACACAAUUGGUGCUGUUCAGUGGGUAUUUGGCUGCUUUGGCCUGGAGUUAAAGAGAGGAUUCUAGCCUGGAGAUAGAGAUUAGGAUGCUAUCAAUUUAUAGGUAGUUAAAACAAUGUGAGAGUGGAUGAUGCCUAAGAGGGUUUGUAGAAUAAGAAAGAAUAAAGCAGAAGGGAAACACUGGGAAACACCACCCUGUAGGAAAGAUGACCCAGUGAAAAAGACAGAAGGAACAGCCUAAUGACAGUGGAUGUCUAGAAGAUAAGGAGGGAGAGAAUCCAACAAGAAGAGACUGGUCAGAUGCCAUAGGGAAUAGGAGAAAGAGCUAACUACAGUUUUUGGAAGGUUUCCCAGAUAGGCCAGGAUCAUUAAUUUGUAAUAAUACUAGUUCAUAUGAUUCUGUGACUUUUGGCAGCAAAAUUCACUAGAACCAGAGAUGAUAAAUAGUUGGAUUGAUACAGUAUUUGGAUUUUGUUACGUGCGUAUGGUAAGAUUGCAAAGGAGUUGAAACUAUUGGUGAAAGAAUGGUCAGAGUGAUGGAAUGUGAAGUUUAGACUGGAUAGGGAUGACGAUAGAGCCAGGAGGAGCUGAAAGAUUGAGAUAACACAAUUGGUUCAAAGGAUUAAAAGUCUGGAUGAAGUAAAUAUACAAGUGUUUGUAGCUAAAAGGGAGAUAAUGAAAAGGCUAGAAAUCCUCUGGUCAGAGUAGAAUAUUGGAAUUUAAGAUUUUUAGGGUGCAGAUGGCAUGUAGGGUUUGGCUGUGGAUAUAGAUGGUAGAAACGGAGGUGUUCAGGAACAAUGAGACUGGUGGUGUAUUCGAUGAAUUGCUCACCCAGAUGACUAUAGAUGACUGUGGUACCCAGGGAGGAAGGGUAGAAUGUGAUCCUAAUUUCUGAGGUUUAGAUUGCCUAUGGUGGUGAUCACUGUAGAUGAGAGAUGAAGAUACUUAGAUGUUAUGCCCUCAAAAGUAC